GCGAUGUCCCUGCGAGGAGUGGGGCGAAUACGGGGGGGGCAAGCAUGUGUCGGAAUGAGUGGGCGUAAAGGGGGCGGAGGCGGCAAGAAAAGUCAGAGGUGAAAUUCCGGGGGUCAACCCCGGAGCUGCAUUUGAAACUUUCUAGCUAGAGGGUGGUAAGGGAAAACGGAAUUCCACGUGUAGCGGUGAAAUGCGUAGAUAUGUGGAAGAACGCCGGUGGUGAAGACGGUUUUCUGUGCCAAACCUGACGCUGAGGCGCGAAAGCUAGGGGUGCAAACAGGAUUAGAUACCCCUGUAGUC
rnacentral:rRNA from 1 species